rfam:Ipomoea nil DNA, scaffold: scaffold1895, cultivar: Tokyo-kokei standard.
AUACUUACCUGGACGGGGUCAAUGGGUGAUCAUGAAGCCCCGUGGCCUAGGCAGGUGACUUCCAUUGCACUUUGGAGGGGUACUAGCCUAAGGUCUACCCAUGUGGUGGAGCCUACGUCAUAAUUUGUGGUAGAGGGGGCUUGCGUUCGCGUAGCCCCUCC